rnacentral:rRNA from 1 species
GACGAACGCUGGCGGCGUGCUUAACACAUGCAAGUCGAACGGAAAGGCCCUGCUUUUGUGGGGUGCUCGAGUGGCGAACGGGUGAGUAACACGUGAGUAACCUGCCCUUGACUUUGGGAUAACUUCAGGAAACUGGGGCUAAUACCGGAUAGGAGCUCCUGCUGCAUGGUGGGGGUUGGAAAGUUUCGGCGGUUGGGGAUGGACUCGCGGCUUAUCAGCUUGUUGGUGGGGUAGUGGCUUACCAAGGCUUUGACGGGUAGCCGGCCUGAGAGGGUGACCGGCCACAUUGGGACUGAGAUACGGCCCAGACUCCUCCGGGAGGCAGCAGCAAGGAAUGCUGCCCAAUGGGCGGAAGGCUAAUCAAACAACGCCGCGUGCGAGAUAACGGCCUUCGGAUUAUAAACCUCUUUCGCCUGUGACGGAGCGUGAAUGCCGGUAAUGGAUAAAGAAGCACCGGCUAACUACGUG